rnacentral:rRNA from 1 species
UAAACUAGGAUUAGAUACCCUAUUAUUUUAGAUGUUAAUUUUUUGACAUGAAUAGUAUUAGUUAUGUUCUUGAAACUUAAAGAAUUUGGCGGUAUUUCAUUCUGUUCAGAGGAAUCUGCCUCGUUAUCGAUAAUCCGCGUUGGACCUUGCUUGAUUUAAUUUGUUUGUAUACCGCCGUUAUAAUGAGUAUCCUUUUAGGGUUUUUUAAUUUUCUUAUUCUAUGAUUUUAGUUUAUUUCAGGUCAAGGUGCAGCUUAUGGUCAAGUGUUUGGUGGAUUACAUUUAUUAAUUUAUUAUCGGAUCACUUGUUGUAAUUCUGGUGUGAAGUUGGAUUUGAUUGUAACUUAAUUAAAGUUUGUUUUGGUGAUUUAUGUUUUGAAAUAUGCACACAUCGCCCGUCGCUCUCGUUAUUUAGGCGAGAUAAGUCGUAACAUAGUA